rnacentral:lncRNA from 10 species
AUGCUCUUGCGACCACUCCAGGCACGAUUGGCACCCUUCUGCAGAAGUUAAGAAAUCUCCAAAACAGUUGGCUGCUUACAUAAAUAGAACAGUUGGACAAACUGUGAAAAGCCCAGAUAAACUUCGUAAAGUGAUCUAUCGCAGAAAGAAAGUUCAUCAUCCCUUUCCAAAUCCUUGUUACAGAAAAAAACAGUCCCCUGGAAGUGGGGGCUGUGACAUGGCAAAUAAAGAAAAUGAACUGGCUUGUGCAGGCCACCUGCCUGAAAAAUUACACCAUGAUAGUCGAACAUAUUUGGUUAACUCCAGUGAUUCUGGUUCUUCACAGACAGAAAGCCCAUCAUCAAAAUAUAGUGGGUUUUUUUCUGAGGUUUCUCAGGACCAUGAAACAAUGGCCCAAGUUUUGUUCAGCAGGAAUAUGAGAUUGAAUGUAGCUUUAACUUUCUGGAGAAAGAGAAGUAUAAGUGAACUUGUAGCUUAUUUGUUGAGGUAAGUGUGACCUUUUAUCCUCUUUGUUCAAUCACUUUUUUUCUGAGACAAGUUCUUGCUUUGUCAUCCAAGUUGGAGUACAGUGGCAC